CAUGUGGGGCAAGCGUUGUUCGGAAUUACUGGGCAUAAAGGGUGCGUAGGUGGUUUGUUAAGUCAGGGGUGAAAUCCCGCGGCCCAACCGUGGAACUGCCUUUGAUACUGGCGAACUUGAGUGCGUGAGGGGUAGGGGGAACGAGCAGUGUAGCGGUGAAAUGCGUAGAUAUUGCUCGGAAGGCCAGAGCCGAAGGGGCCCUACUGGUGCGCAACUGACACUGAGGCACGAAAGCGUGGGGAGCAAACAGGACUAGAUACCCUGGUAGUCCACGCCGUAAACUAUGAGCACUAGAUGGAUGCCGAGCUAUCGGUGUCUGUCGGAGGCAAUUUGGUAAGUGCUCCGCCUGGGGAGUAUGGUCGCAAGGCUG
rnacentral:rRNA from 1 species